rnacentral:rRNA from 1 species
UCGAGAAUCUUCGGCAAUGGACGCAAGUCUGACCGAGCGACGCCGCGUGCGGGAUGAAGGCCUUCGGGUUGUAAACCGCUGUCGUAGAGGAGGAAAUUCUGGUGGGUACUCCCAUCAGAUUGACUGAUUCUAGGAGGAAGGACCGGCUAAUCUCGUGCCAGCAGCCGCGGUAAUACGAGAGGUCCAAACGUUAUUCGGAAUUACUGGGCUUACAGAGUUCGUAGGCGGUUCUACAAGUGAGGUGUGAAAGCCCUCGGCUCAACCGAGGAACUGCGCUUCAAACUGUAGAACUAGAGGGAGAUAGAGGUGAGCAGAACUGAUGGUGGAGCGGUGAAAUGCGUUGAUAUCAUCAGGAAUACCGGAGGCGAAGGCGGGUUGCUGGGCUGAUACUGACGCUGAGGCGCGAAAGCUAGGGUAGCAAACAGGAUUAGAUACCCUCGUAGUCCCUGAGCGGGCUGGCAAGGCGCAU